rnacentral:rRNA from 1 species
UAGUUGUUUUUUGGCUCCGCUCAUUCCAUUCAUGAAUGCCUUAAUUCAUUGAG